UUGGUAGCUGGCCAGAAUAUGCAAUGUGGCUUGCCAGGUCUGCAGAUGCUCGGUUGUAACCUCCGCCCCUCGUCCUCAUGAAUCCUUUUUGGUGUGAAAUACCUAGUUGAUAUUUUUCAGUCUCCAGUCCGCGCACUCCAGCGCAGGCUCCCCAUGGGUGCCACCCCCGCGCGCCCCCGCGCACGUUAUCCCACACGUACAGCGCAAUCCACGCAUGUCGCCCACGUCGCACUCACUCUGGACCUAGUGGCCAGACAGUUCGGGAGCGUGAGCGGUAUGUUGGUCCUGAGUGUGCAAGCAGUAUGCGUCUUCUGGAAUCUUCUGUGCACCCCAUCUGUCACCCGCCAUAUAGCAUGCACCCUGUGGCCGCAGCUGCCCUGGCGUCUAUUCUAGGAGGGGUCUGAGAGGGGAUCCCUGGGUCGCGCAGGACUUGCGCACUGCUGGCUCGUGUCCUGGGGAGGAAGCACAGCGUCCCCAACCGUGUGACAGCAAGUCUGGGGUCGUGACAGGAAGGCAGGGACAUGCUACAGCAAAGAUGCCACCACCCACAUCAAGCUUUCCUCCGUCCUGACAUUAGAAAACUGAAGGCGAGUCCUUAGGACAGCCAGUAUGAUCCCUGAAUUUUCUUCCUCUUCUUUGUCAGUGGAUCCACAGAGAAUGGAAAAAAGGAAAGAGUUGAGAGAGCAGAUACCUGUGGACACCUGAACUCACUAGAAGCUGCACCUGGGAGGCAGCAUGACUCCAAUUCUGGAGAGCCUGGUCUCUGAGCAUCAAAACCCUUGGGAGCCUGGACCUUUAUCCCCCUGCCUGCUUGGCAAAAAGGAAUUGGAGCCCACAGCAUUGACCUUCUCCUUUUCUAAUGGACCAUGCAGGGUGGGCCAGUAGGUACCACCUCUACUCUCUGCAUAGCAGGUCAAAGACCAUCAGUAAAUAUCAGCCUCGUGUCAUGGUGAAAGCAAAGCAGAUGGCGAGAACUCAGGCACAUCUCUGCAAGAGAUGGUCAAGUCUUAGGGACUUAGAAAGUCUGCAGGCU